CCUGCCCAAGAGACUGGGAUAACACCUGGAAACAGAUGCUAAUACCGGAUAACAACACUAGACGCAUGUCUAGAGUUUGAAAGAUGGUUCUGCUAUCACUCUUGGAUGGACCUGCGGUGCAUUAGCUAGUUGGUAAGGUAACGGCUUACCAAGGCAAUGAUGCAUAGCCGAGUUGAGAGACUGAUCGGCCACAUUGGGACUGAGACACGGCCCAAACUCCUACGGGAGGCAGCAGCG
rnacentral:rRNA from 1 species